GAAGAAAGCUUGGCACCGAGAAGCAGAAGGAGGCAGCACACACAGGGUGACUAACAGGCAAACAUCAUGAUCAGACUGCAAAGAAAAGUCCUGAUUCCCACACACAGAGGCGGCAACAGCAUACUAACUUACGGUGGGUGAUCAUCUACUGUCUCCAUCUCACCGUCAGGACAAGAUAACUACAAAUACUCCAAAACUUCAAGGCAUCUUUUCAAUGAAAAGACACAGAGACCUAAAUUGUAUUUACAAGGAAAGAUCUUACAAAUUAUUUGAAGAUGCUAAAGAAUAGCAUUGAAUCAGAAAUAAACAGCACACGUCCAAGUAAAAAAUAGACAUUAAAAACAUAUAAUCUACUUAAAGACUUACAUAGUAAAGU